rnacentral:rRNA from 1 species
UACGUAGGUGGCAAGCGUUGUCCGGAAUUAUUGGGCGUAAAGCGCGCGCAGGCGGUCCUUUAAGUCUGAUGUGAAAGCCCACGGCUCAACCGUGGAGGGUCAUUGGAAACUGGGGGACUUGAGUACAGAAGAGAAGAGUGGAAUUCCACGUGUAGCGGUGAAAUGCGUAGAGAUGUGGAGGAACACCAGUGGCGAAGGCGAC